rnacentral:rRNA from 1 species
GAUGAACGCUGGCGGCGUGCCUAAUACAUGCAAGUAGAACGCUGAAGCUUGGUGCUUGCACCGAGCGGAUGAGUUGCGAACGGGUGAGUAACGCGUAGGUAACCUGCCUCUUAGCGGGGGAUAACUAUUGGAAACGAUAGCUAAUACCGCAUAAAAGUCGAUAUCGCAUGAUAUUGAUUUGAAAGGUGCAAAUGCAUCACUAAGAGAUGGACCUGCGUUGUAUUAGCUAGUUGGUGAGGUAACGGCUCACCAAGGCGACGAUACAUAGCCGACCUGAGAGGGUGAUCGGCCACACUGGGACUGAGACACGGCCCAGACGCCUACGGGAGGCAGCAGUAGGGAAUCUUCGGCAAUGGGGGCAACCCUGACCGAGCAACGCCGCGUGAGUGAAGAAGGUUUUCGGAUCGUAAAGCUCUGUUGUAAGAGAAGAACGAGUGUGAGAGUGGAAAGUUCACACUGUGACGGUAACUUACCAGAAAGGGACGGCUAACUACGUG